GUACUUAUCUGACAAACUAGAUGCUACCACCGGAAAUGUCCGGACAAAAUACCAAGGACAGUUAGCAUCUUUUUAGGGACCCAGCUGGGAUCUUUCGUGUGUUAUUCCCAGAAGUGUGGUAAAUUCAGGAGAAACUGCGGUACCAUGGUACAUGUUUGGGGCUUGAAAGGCAUCCUCUGCUUUGUGUUCCCGACCCCUCCCCUCUCCCGCCCCUUCACUGAUCCAUCGGUUUAAUCAACUGAUCUAUUUACACAACAUCAUUUGUACUACCUCAUUUUUUUUCUCAGAGUCUGGAAGUUUGGUAUGUGCUAGGCUGAAGGAACAAGCUUCGGAUGUAGACUUGGGCAUGGAGGCUCUAAUAAGUGUCCAUGGUAGACGCCACUCCCUGCCUGUUGUCACAUGAUUUCUGGAAGAAUUGUCUGCUGGGAAAAGGCUCUUGGAUGUCUGUCUGCCUUUCCCCCGCACUUCACCUGCUGUAUCUUUUUAGCCUGAACUGAUCUCACUUGUGCCUGUUUGCUUUUGUGGUUUUAGCAGGAAGUCACCACCAUGAGUGCAAUUAUGUGCUGAUUUCUGUGAAUUCUUCCAGCCAGGCAGUCAUCAGAUUCGGAGCUGCUCCUUUCUCACCGUCCUUUACACUUACAAUCAAGCAGCUGAUAAGUUCCCCUUUAACCCGGUUUUCAGGAGUUUAUUGAACAGGCUUCAGAACAAAGAAUACCAAGGUGAAUAGAGACAAAGGAACUACAGAGAUGUGGAUAACAACAUGUACUGCUCAUGCAGAGAACCUGAACUCCGUUCCCAGCACCCACGUCCCUCACGACCACCUCCACCUCCAUCUUCAAAGUCUCUGUAGAUACCCGUACUCAUGUGCACGUACACAGAGGUCAAAGGGAACUUGCCGGGGAAUGAAGAGCAAUGCCCUGAAUUCCAACUGCCCUUCUACAGAGAAGUGCUUGACUGCCAAGUGGUCUUCCCAGUCAUUGGUGAGGCUCUUAUAGAAUUCACCAUAUUCCUCUUGAGUGAUGUCAUCAGGAUUUCUGGUCCAGAUGGGCUUCAUCUUAUUCAGCUCUUUCUGGUCAAUGUACUUCUCCUUGAUCUUCUUUGUUUGCUUUUUCUUAUCUUUGCCGCUCUCAUCCUCCUCGUCAGAUCCCACAUCCUCAAUCUUAGGCUUCUCCUCAUCCUCCUUAUCUUCCUCCUCUUUCUCCCCCUUCUCUUCCUCUGCCU
rnacentral:lncRNA from 1 species